GAACUGAAAACUAUUCUCUGUUGAUUUAUGUUGAUUGUUUUUACAGUUUAAAUGCAUGAUAGUGCCUUAUUGAUUUAUUUUAUAGCUUUGAAUUCAUUGUUGUUUUACGUGUUUACAGUUGAAUUGAAAAAAUAGAGGUUAAAGGUAAACAGAAAACAUGUGUGAUAAAAUAACUGGAUGAAACGGCAGCCUUACUAGACAUCUUAGGAGAUGGUAGACGGACCGGAUACAUAGGGAACCCUACC
rnacentral:lncRNA from 1 species